CCUACGGGGGGCAGCAGUGGGGAAUAUUGGACAAUGGGCGUAAGCCUGAUCCAGCCAUGCCGCGUGUGUGAAGAAGGCCUUCGGGUUGUAAAGCACUUUCAGUGGGGAAGAAAGCCUUGGGGCUAAUACCCUCGAGGAAGGACAUCACCCACAGAAGAAGCACCGGCUAACUCCGUGCCAGCAGCCGCGGUAAUACGGAGGGUGCGAGCGUUAAUCGGAAUUACUGGGCGUAAAGCGCGCGUAGGCGGUCUGAUAAGCCGGUUGUGAAAGCCCCGGGCUCAACCUGGGAACGGCAUCCGGAACUGUCAGGCUAGAGUGCAGGAGAGGAAGGUAGAAUUCCCGGUGUAGCGGUGAAAUGCGUAGAGAUCGGGAGGAAUACCAGUGGCGAAGGCGGCCUUCUGGACUGACACUGACGCUGAGGUGCGAAAGCGUGGGUAGCAAACAGGAUUAGAUACCCUAGUAGUC
rnacentral:rRNA from 1 species